CCAAUUUUUUAUUAUUAGUUGUACGAUCACCGCGUCAGCGGUGUGAGUACCAACUACUAAUGUAAACGUUGAACUAGAUCAUCAGUGCGUGGAUUUGUUUGUUUUCGAGCGGACAGUCCCCACACUGAUAACCCUUAUUAUUUAUAUAAUAUACCACAUAUAUACUACAAACAAAAAAGCUAUAAUAGGACUUAUAUAUAGGCUGAGUGGGUAACAUCCUCAGCCUUUAAACUAAUAACUAUUA
rnacentral:misc_RNA from 1 species